rnacentral:lncRNA from 1 species
GAUGAAAAAAAUAUUCCAUAUGUUUCGUAAAACCUAUCACGUCACAAUUCAAUUAUCAUAUUAUUUCUAAGGUCCCAUGGAGAAAUACAGAAACAUAUCCUUAUAUAUAUAAUUUUAGUUUAAUCGUAAAAAAAUAUACUAUAACCGAUGUCUAACAAUAUACAGAAUACGAUAUUAUGUUUUUUCUUUUAUAUCGUAUUUUUUUAC